rnacentral:rRNA from 1 species
UAGGGAAUCUUCCACAAUGGGCGCAAGCCUGAUGGAGCAACACCGCGUGAGUGAAGAAGGGUUUCGGCUCGUAAAGCUCUGUUGUAAGAGAAGAACGUGUGUGAGAGUGGAAAGUUCACACAGUGACGGUAACUUACCAGAAAGGGACGGCUAACUACGUACCAG